rnacentral:rRNA from 1 species
UGAGACACGGUCCAGACUCCUACGGGAGGCAGCAGUGGGGAAUAUUGGACAAUGGGGGCAACCCUGAUCCAGCCAUGCCGCGUGUGUGAAGAAGGCCUUCGGGUUGUAAAGCACUUUUGUCCGGAAAGAAAAGCACCUAAUUAAUACCUGGGUGUCAUGACGGUACCGGAAGAAUAAGCACCGGCUAACUUCGUGCCAGCAGCCGCGGUGAUACGAAGGGUGCAAGCGUUACUCGGAAUUACUGGGCGUAAAGCGUGCGUAGGUGGUGCGUUAAGUCUGUCGUGAAAGCCCCGGGCUCAACCUGGGAAUGGCGAUGGAUACUGGCGCGCUAGAGUGCGGUAGAGGAGAGUGGAAUUCCCGGUGUAGCAGUGAAAUGCGUAGAGAUCGGGAGGAACAUCAGUUGCGAAGGCGGCUCUCUGGACCAGCACUGACACUGAGGCACGAAAGCGUGGGGAGCAAACAGGAUUAGAUACCCUGGUAGUCCACGCCCUAAACGAUGCGAACUGGACGUUGGGAGCAACUAGGCUCUCAGUGUCGAAGCUAACGCGUUAAGUUCGCCGCCUGGGGA